rnacentral:tRNA from 1 species
AGUUCAAUGGUAGAACAUCAGCCUUCCAAGCUGAAUACGUGGGUUCGAUUCCCAUC